AGGAUAAUAGUUUACAUAAAACAUUUAGUUUGCAAUUAGAAAAAAUUACUUUAAAUUUAUCUU
rnacentral:tRNA from 1 species